AUACGUAGGGGGCGAGCGUUGUCCGGAAUGAUUGGGCGUAAAGGGCGCGUAGGCGGCCCGGUAAGUCUGGAGUGAAAGUCCUGUUUUUAAGAUGGGAAUUGCUUUGGAUACUGUCGGGCUUGAGUGCAGGAGAGGUAAGUGGAAUUCCCAGUGUAGCGGUGAAAUGCGUAGAGAUUGGGAGGAACACCAGUGGCGAAGGCGACUUCCUGGCACAAUACUGACGCUCAUGUGCGAAAGCUAGGGUAGCGAACGGGAUUAGAUACCCCGGUAGUCCUAGCCGUAAACGAUGGAUACUAGGUGUGGGUGUCGCAGGGCAUCCGUGCCGCAGCUAACGCGUUAAGUAUCCCGCCUGGGGACUACGGUCGCAAGACUGAAACUUAAAGGAAUUGACGGGG
rnacentral:rRNA from 1 species